rnacentral:rRNA from 1 species
GAUCCUGGCUCAGAAUCAACGCUGGCGGCGUGCCUAACACAUGCAAGUCGAACGCGGUUACCCCGCAAGGGGUGACUGAGUGGCGAACGGGUGAGUAACACGUGGGUGACCUACCUUCGAGUGGGGGAUAACGUCCCGAAAGGGACGCUAAUACCGCAUAACAUCCCGUCCUUGAACGGAUGGAGAUCAAAGCCGGGGAUCGCAAGACCUGGCGUUUGAAGAGGGGCCCGCGUCUGAUUAGCUAGUUGGUGGGGUAACGGCUCACCAAGGCGACGAUCAGUAUCCGGCCUGAGAGGGCGGACGGACACACUGGGACUGAGACACGGCCCAGACUCCUACGGGAGGCAGCAGUGGGGAAUUGUUCGCAAUGGGCGCAAGCCUGACGACGCAACGCCGCGUGGAGGAUGAAGGUCUUCGGAUUGUAAACUCCUGUUGCCCGGGACGAAAAGCUUCAACCUAAUACGUUGAAGUCUGACGGUACCGGGUGAGGAAGCCCCGGCUAACUCUGUGCCAGCAGCCGCGGUAAUACAGAGGGGGCGAGCGUUGUUCGGAAUUACUGGGCGUAAAGGGCGCGUAGGCGGCCUGCUAAGUCGAACGUGAAAUCCCCGGGCUCAACCCGGGAACUGCGUCCGAGACUGGUUGGCUCGAAUCCGGGAGAGGGAUGUGGAAUUCCAGGUGUAGCGGUGAAAU